rnacentral:rRNA from 1 species
UACGAAGGAUCCAAGCGUUAUCCGGAUUUAUUGGGUUUAAAGGGUGCGUAGGCGGGCUAUUAAGUCAGUGGUGAAAGCCCCAAGCUUAACUUGGGAAUUGCCAUUGAUACUGAUUGUCUUGAGUACACUUGAAGUGGGCGGAAUGUGUCAUGUAGCGGUGAAAUGCUUAGAUAUGACAUAGAAUACCUAUUGCGAAGGCAGCUUACUGCGCAGAUAUUGACGCUCAUGCACGAAAGCGUGGGGAUCAAACAGG